UACGGAGGGGGCUAGCGUUGUUCGGAAUUACUGGGCGUAAAGCGCACGUAGGCGGCUUUGUAAGUUAGAGGUGAAAGCCCGGGGCUCAACUCCGGAAUUGCCUUUAAGACUGCAUCGCUUGAACGUCGGAGAGGUGAGUGGAAUUCCGAGUGUAGAGGUGAAAUUCGUAGAUAUUCGGAAGAACACCAGUGGCGAAGGCGGCUCACUGGUCCGGUACUGACGCUGAGGUGCGAAAGCGUGGGGAGCAAACAGG
rnacentral:rRNA from 1 species